rnacentral:rRNA from 1 species
UUGGAAACUGAUUUAUUUGAGUGCGAUAGAGGCAAGUGGAACUCCAUGUGUAGCGGUGAAAUGCGUAGAUAUGUGGAAGAACACCAGUGGCGAAAGCGGCUUGCUAGAUCGUAACUGACGUUGAGGCUCGAAAGUAUGGGUAGCAAACGGGAUUAGAUACCCCGGUAGUCCAUACCGUAAACGAUGGGUGCUAGUUGUUAAGAGGUUUCCGCCUCCUAGUGACGUAGCCAACGCAUUAAGCACCCCGCCUGAGGAGUACGGCCGCAAGGCUAAAACUUAAAGGAAUUGACGGGGACCCGCACAAGCGG